AUCGGAUUCACAGAAAUGCCAAGAGGCCAUGAGCCAAUGGCACAUUGCUUUGAUCACUCCCUUACCCGUGUGCUGUUGAGAAAUAGAGCACACACAGAAAGCUAACCAUUGUGAUGGUGAAGAGUUGCAGGUAGCCUCAGAGAACAAUACCAUGAGCCCCUCAGGUGCAGCAACUUUCACACAGUCGUGAGACACACAGCAGUAGCGGGUGCAGGAGCUUUCACACAGUCGUGAGACACACGGCAGCAGAAGUAGUCAGGCUUUACAUCUUCAGAGGUUGAGAUGCAUGAAGUCUUAGAGGCUGUGGGAAGCCACUGUGGUUUCUCAUCCAUGAAGUGAACAUAAUCUCCCCCUCAGGGUGCCGCUGUUCGGGUCAAAUGAGACGACGAUGGGAGGAAGCCCUGAGCAGAUGCCUGGCACACAGUGACUCAAGGAAACUUUCACAAGUUCCUGUAGUACGCAAAGGCAUGUGACAGACAUGGUCUUGCUCAUUCCACAUGAAAAUGUGCAUGUAAGGAAGCUGUCAGGACAGAUAGCAUGUGAAGAGACCCUGAAAAGAUGGGCUUGAGCCAAGACCAGAAAUGAUGUAUUCACAUUGGGAUCAGAGGACAGAUGGUGCAGAAGCAAAGCACAGAACAGUGCAGCAGAGUUGUGAGGAUCCGCGGGAAAGGCCACUGAGGCAGACGUGAUGGGUGAACAGAAGAAAGAAUGAUAAGCUGUGGACAGGUGGCAGGUGCACAGGUUUGCAGUAAGGCUUGGUCAAUGAAGAGGUGACAAGAGGAAAAUCCCAGCAAACUCCAAAGGUAAACUCCAACAGAAGGAACUGCAAAGAAGACCCAAGUGGGACCCCCAGAACUGGAAGGCACAGAAACCCAGUUACUGCUGUCCAUGAUCUCACAAUGGACUUCACCACAGAUUUGAAGAAAGAACUGGCAGAUGUUGUGCUGUUCCAAUUGAGAUUAUACAAGCC
rnacentral:lncRNA from 1 species